UUUCACUUUUAUGGAAAGGGGAAUAACUGCUGUACAAUGAAAAGGAAAUUCCCUCAUCAAUAAAACUUAAAAAUAUUCAGAAAUCAUUUACUGGAAUAUAGUAUGUUCUUAUGUGUUUGAUUAUAGAUGACACAAAUACACUAUCUAUAUUCUGUUUUGGUUAAAAUUUCUGCAUGUGUGACUUCAUUUUUUCCUUAUAACCCCAAUUCUUUUAGUAUCAUAAGAUGGAAAAUGAGUUCUAUAUAGGCCCCAAUAUAGGUUAUUAUUGGCAAGGACUUGUUUAGUUUUCCUGCUCUAAAUAUUCAAAUGUUAUAACUUUAGAAAGAAAUAUAUUUAUUUACUAUACUAAUGCCUUUCUAAAAAUUUUGUAAAUCUCUAUCUUCCUUUGUAUAUACUGAUAAUACUUCUGUUACGCUGCUGGAAUUUACAGUUGUGUGUAAUGCUGAAGAACUGAAACUGUCUUGUUCACAGCUUACAGGACUGAGCAUGGCAACUUUACUGGAAGCAAGUGACCAUAGGAUUACCAUUUAAGGCAGUAUUAGCCUCCAUCUUUGAAGCCUGACACCAUUUUACUGAUGCUGGAAGAAGAAAUGGGAAAUUUCUAACAGAAGUCUGUAUUUAAUGUCAUUAGCUUUGGUAGAACACUACUAAAUAUAUAAUUAAUAUUUUAAGUUAUAACAAUUGUAAAACAUAAAAAUAAAAAUACUAUACCCUUAGGUUAAAUGAAUUGGGAUAAAUAAGUGCAUUUCCUCUAGCUACCUGCCCUAUACCUGUAGAGAUUAGCAUUAGGACAUUUAAGAAGCCAUAUUGUGCUGGAGCAGAGAGAAGAGGAAAGAAACAAACAGAAGUCAGGAGGUAUUAAUAGUUUUGGAUGUUGGGAGGAACAGCUAAACAGAAUUCUAUAAUUAAUUUAGAAUGUUUGAUCCAAAUUUGUGAGGGCUGUGGUGAGUGCUUGGAUUUAAGGAGCAUAAACUCUUAUUCCUUUCAACAACCUUAUUCAACAACAUGAUUGCUGAUUCUUCAUUCUAACAGAAGAUUUAGAGAUUUGUUCUCAGGAGAGAUAGACAAAGAAAGUCCUCAUAGAGGACUGCACUAUCAAAGAUGAGACACUAUUUUCAACACAUUUAUCUCCAGAGAAUUGGUUUAAAUAGAUGAUGUGACCUAUACUGACUGAUGUUUGGACAUCCUCCAACAACGGAUCUCAGGUUCUACAUAGUCCCCUACAGUGGGUUAGCCAUAUGACAACCCUACAUAGAAUUUAUAAACAGGUUUGUGUGUGUGUGUGUGUGUUCACUUUUAACUGUUUACAGAAUCCCUUUCUGCUUGGAAAAUAACCUAUUAAAGUGAAAUUUGGGCAUUAACCUUAUUUACUAUGUCUAGUCAACUCUGCACCUCAUUGAAAAGUGCUCUGGAGAUCCAGAGGUGUUCUUUUUUA